UACGUAGGGUGCAAGCGUUGUCCGGAAUUAUUGGGCGUAAAGAGCUCGUAGGCGGUUUGUCGCGUCUGGUGUGAAAAUCCAGGGCUUAACCCUGGACCUGCAUCGGGUACGGGCAGACUAGAGUGCGGUAGGGGAGAUCGGAAUUCCUGGUGUAGCGGUGAAAUGCGCAGAUAUCAGGAGGAACACCGGUGGCGAGGGCGGAUCUCGGGCCGUAACUGACGCUGAGGAGCGAAAGCAUGGGGAGCGAACAGG
rnacentral:rRNA from 1 species